AUAUAGUACCUUCGUGCUCAAGUUGUAAUUGAAGAUGGCGACUUUGGGAGUGGCCUAUAUAUAUGUUCCUGGGAACAGGACGUCACAGAGGGUGAGAAUCCCGUUGAUGAGGUGAUCCACUCCUUUGUAAAGUGCUAUCGAAGAGUCGAGUUGUUUGGGAAUGCAGCUCUAAGUGGGUGGUAAAUUCCAUCUAAAGCUAAAUAUUGGCGAGAGACCGAUAGCGAACAAGUACAGUGAUGGAAAGAUGAAAAGAACUUUGAAAAGAGAGUGAAAAAGUACGUGAAAUUGUUGAAAGGGAAGGGUAUUAGAUCAGACUUGGCGUUGUGUGAUUAUCUUCCCCUUGUGGGUUGUGCACUCGUGCUUCGCUGGGCCAGCAUCGAUUCGUGUGGCAGGAUAAUAGCAUUGGAACGUGGCUGCGCUUCUGUGUAGUGUUAUAGCCUUUGUUGAUACUGCCUAUGUGGAUCGAGGACUGCGUCUUUUGACUAGGAUGCUGGCGUAAUGAUCUAAUAGCGCCCCUCUUGAAACACGGACCAAGGAGUCUAACGUCUAUGCGAGUGUUUGGGUGUGAAACCCGUACGCGUAAUGAAAGUGAACGUAGGUGAGAAUCUUCGGAUGUAUCAUCGACCGAUCCUGAUGUCUUCGGAUGGAUUUGAGUAAGAGCAUAGCUGUUGGGACCCGAAAGAUGGUGAACUAUGCCUGAA
rnacentral:rRNA from 2 species